ACAGAGGGUGCGAGCGUUGUUCGGAAUUACUGGGCGUAAAGCGCGCGCAGGCGGUCCUUUAAGUCUACCCGUGAAAUGCCGGAGCUCAACUCCGUGCACGCCGGGGGAUACUGGGGGACUGGAGACAUGUAGAGGCAAGCGGAAUUCCGGGUGUAGCGGUGGAAUGCGUAGAUAUCCGGAAGAACACCUGAGGCGAAGGCGGCUUGCUGGGCAUGAUCUGACGCUGAGGCGCGAAAGCGUGGGGAGCAAACAGGAUUAGAUACCCUGGUAGUCCACGCCGUAAACGAUGGGCACUAGACGCGGGUGGGAUCGACCCCUUCCGUGUCGCAGCUAACGCGAUAAGUGCCCCGCCUGGGGAGUACCGGCCGCAAGGCUG
rnacentral:rRNA from 1 species